AACAAGGUUUCCGUAGGUGAACCUGCGGAAGGAUCAUUACCGAGUUCUCGGGCUUCGGCUCGAAUCUCCCACCCUUUGUGAACAUACCUCUGUUGCUUUGGCGGCUCUUUGCCGCGAGGAGGCCCUCGCGGGCCCCCCCGCGCGCUUUCUGCCAGAGGACCUUCAAACUCCAGUCAGUAAACGUCGACGUCUGAUAAACAAGUUAAUAAACUAAAACUUUCAACAACGGAUCUCUUGGUUCUGGCAUCGAUGAAGAACGCAGCGAAAUGCGAUAAGUAAUGUGAAUUGCAGAAUUCAGUGAAUCAUCGAAUCUUUGAACGCACAUUGCGCCCCCUGGCAUUCCGGGGGGCAUGCCUGUUCGAGCGUCAUUACAACCCUCAAGCUCUGCUUGGUAUUGGGCGCCGUCCUCUCUGCGGACGCGCCUUAAAGACCUCGGCGGUGGCUGUUCAGCCCUCAAGCGUAGUAGAAUACACCUCGCUUUGGAGCGGUUGGCGUCGCCCGCCGGACGAACCUUCUGAACUUUUCUCAAGGUUGACCUCGGAUCAGGUAGGGAUACCCGCUGAACUUAAGCAUAUC
rnacentral:rRNA from 1 species